rnacentral:rRNA from 1 species
GAAUCUUCCGCAAUGGGCGCAAGCCUGACGGAGCAACGCCGCGUGAGGGAGGAAGGCCUGUGGGUCGUAAACCUCUUUUCUCAAGGAAGAAGUUCUGACGGUACUUGAGGAAUCAGCAUCGGCUAACUCCGUGCCAGCAGCCGCGGUAAGACGGAGGAUGCAAGCGUUAUCCGGAAUUAUUGGGCGUAAAGCGUCCGUAGGUGGUUUAGAAAGUCAGUUGUUAAAGCCCAUAGCUCAACUAUGGAUCGGCAAUUGAAACUACUAGACUUGAGUGUGGUAGGGGUAGAGGGAAUUCCUAGUGUAGCGGUGAAAUGCGUAGAUAUUAGGAAGAACACCAGUGGCGAAGGCGCUCUACUGGGCCAUAACUGACACUGAUGGACGAAAGCUAGGGGAGCG